rnacentral:rRNA from 1 species
UGGCAAGCGUUGUCCGGAUUUACUGGGUGUAAAGGGUGCGCAGGCGGACUGAUAAGUCGGGGGUUAAAUCCAUGUGCUCAACACAUGCACGGCUUCCGAUACUGUCAGUCUUGAGUCUCGAAGAGGAAGAUGGAAUUUCCGGUGUAACGGUGGAAUGUGUAGAUAUCGGAAAGAACACCAGUGGCGAAGGCAGUCUUCUGGUCGAGUACUGACGCUCAGGCACGAA